rnacentral:lncRNA from 10 species
GCAAGAAUAGGGAACAUUAACUGCCUUAAAACCAGGAUCAGUCCUGGCUCCCCAGGGGCUCAGCUCAUUGGCUCCAGACAAGAGUUCUGAUCUGAACAUCUGAGUUAAGAAAAAAGACCUCAUGUGUCUUCCUGUGCCAUCCUGCUGGAGCAAGAGCCAGGAGACCUACAGGAGCGCUGCUUCCUCCUCCCUUUUAUGCGCUUGUCUCAAGUCUGUUUUGGAGGCCAUUGCAAAGGUGCUGCCUGCAGGAGCCAGCCCUCUGGGCGUGUGGAGGGAAGGGCACACUGACUAAGCUGCCCACAGGAGGGAAGCGGGACCAAGGACGUGGGAGGAAGCUCACAUGGUAACUAUGGGGCAUAAGGCAUUUUGAGAAAAGCAAGACUUUGAGGAGGAAUUUUUAGGACUAAAGAAUAGCAUGAGUGUCUGGAAAUCCUAGGGUAAAGAGCAACUCAUAAGGAGAAAGAGAAAGGUGGGAGAGCUCAGAGGCAAAAGUCUAUUCUUACCUGUGCCCUGGACUGGCCCUUCCCUACCCCAUUUCCUAGACACCGAGAUAGAAUUUCAUGCUGCUCACAGUGUCCGGACUGCAACACACCAUUUCUGUGUUUCCUGUAGUUAGGUGGAGUUGAUAAUUUAAGUAACAGACAAAACUAAGAGACCCCUUGGCCAGUCUCAGGCAGCAAGCACAGUGUGUGCCCUUUAUUAUUUUAUUUUAUUUAUUUAUAUUUUUUGAGACAGAGUCUCACUGUGUCGCCCAGGCUGGAGUGCGAUGGCGGGAUCUCGGCUCACUGCAAGCUCUGCCUCCCGG